rnacentral:rRNA from 1 species
GACGAACGCGGCGGCGUGCUUAACACAUGCAAGUCGAACGAAGAGCGAUGGAAGCUUGCUUCUAUCAAUCUUAGUGGCGAACGGGUGAGUAACGCGUAAUCAACCUGCCCUUCAGAGGGGGACAACAGUUGGAAACGACUGCUAAUACCGCAUACGAUCUAAUCUCGGCAUCGAGGAAAGAUGAAAGGUGGCCUCUAUUUAUAAGCUAUCACUGAAGGAGGGGAUUGCGUCUGAUUAGCUAGUUGGAGGGGUAACGGCCCACCAAGGCGAUGAUCAGUAGCCGGUCUGAGAGGAUGAACGGCCACAUUGGGACUGAGACACGGCCCAGACUCCUACGGGAGGCAGCAGUGGGGAAUCUUCCGCAAUGGACGAAAGUCUGACGGAGCAACGCCGCGUGAGUGAUGACGGCCUUCGGGUUGUAAAGCUCUGUUAAUCGGGACGAAAGGCCUUCUUGCGAACAGUAGAAGGAUUGACGGUACCGGAAUAGAAAGCCACGCA